rnacentral:rRNA from 1 species
UACAGAGGGUGCAAGCGUUGUUCGGAAUUAUUGGGCGUAAAGGGCGCGUAGGCGGUUCGGCAAGUCUCUAGUGAAAUCUCUGGGCUCAACUCAGAGUCUGCUGGGGAAACUGCCGGGCUUGAGUGUGGGAGAGGAGAGUGGAAUUCCCGGUGUAGCGGUGAAAUGCGUAGAUAUCGGGGAGGAACACCUGUGGCGAAAGCGGCUCUCUGGACCACAACUGACGCUG